CGGGUGAGUAACACGUGAGUGACCUGCCUUUUAGACUGGAACAACUUACCGAAAGGUGAGCUAAUGCCGGAUGAGUUAUAUAAGUGCAUGUUUAUAUAGGAAAAGUUGGGGAGACCUGACGCUGAAAGAUGGACUCGCGUCCCAUUAGCUAGUUGGUAGGGUAAUGGCCUACCAAGGCGACGAUGGGUAGCCGGCCUNAGAGGGUGGCCGGCCANACUGGGACUGAGACACGGCCCAGACUCCUACGGAAGGCAGCAG
rnacentral:rRNA from 1 species